rnacentral:lncRNA from 1 species
CACAAUCCUGGCUUGAGGCCAACCAUACAAGAGGUGGUGUACUGCCUGGAAACCGUAGUUGAGCCCCUGCAGGUGCAGGUGCAGGUGCAGCUGUAAUUAAAGGAGAACAUAUUGUAGGUGGCAAUAUUGUACUCCACCAGAUUAGUUGUAACAUCAGUAGAAGGAAGAGUUUCUAACAAAGAGUGCAGUAGUGUACAUUUCUGAAAGAAAAGUCUCACUGUCAUGAGACCAUGUAAACAAUUUUUCCUUAUUCUUCUGUGGAAAUAUUGCACUUCCAAGUUCAAAUGACUGAACAUGUAAAGUGCAUAAAAAGAGCAUUGGGCUCUUGCUUAGUAUGCCUACAUUUGUAUCCUAGCAAAGUUGUACAGUUGUGUAUGGAAAUCUGUGAAAAGAAAAGGCUCACGGCUGAGCUUCUGUAUACAAUUUUUCCUUCUUCUUCUUAUCUAAAACCUAUAGUACUCGAGUUCAAUUGCAGGAACAAUGAAAGCAAUUUGCAAGCGUAUUCAGCUAUCAACUAAUUCACAAACAUUUCUGGAACUGUGAAACAUGUACAAAUGCCUGCACUAAAAAAGAUGGAUAUAUGGAUAACAUAAUUGAGGAAGAAGGAUGGACUUGCUGGCUUCUUUUUUAAUCUGUGAAGGGGACAAGAUAUGAGGUACCAUUGUUCAAAAUUUAGCUUACUGUUAUUGCUGUGAGAGGGGGCAAUUUAUGAACCAGUGGUGUUCAAUUUAACUUACGAGCAUAAUCAGUACGUAUUGUUCAGUUUCAGUUUGGUUCCCUCUCUCCCCAUCCCCAACAAUAUGAUGUCUAAAGCCUACAUGGUUUCCUUCCCAAGUUCUAACAGUCCUAGAGCAACCACAGCAGCACAAUGGCGGAAGCAAGACCACAAGCAAUGUACACUUCCACAGACCACACCAUCCUAAUUCCUAACAGUCCGACAAUAUUCACACGCAGAAUGCUAUCACCAACAAUCCCUAGCAAAAAAGGGCAGCACAGCACGAACCUCUAAAACAAAUGACGGUCGCGGUUGCCGGCUGCCGGAUGCCUCCUGCCGGCAUAAGGCCUGCCGGUGGUCGCCUAGCCAGGAACGCGCGCGAAUUCAUGCGGAACGGGAGGGGUCGCUCCGUCACCGCCAGUGGCUGUGCGGGCGGGUUGAGGCCGCCGGGGAAGAAGAAGGCUAGAACUCCCCGGUCUCCUUUCUCUUCUCCGUGGGCCGUCGCAUUCACAGAUUCAUUCUUACUGGUAGAUGGGCC